UACGUAGACCUCUAGCGUUAUCCGGAUUUAUUGGGCGUAAAGCGCUAAAAGGCGGUUUAGAAAGUUGAAUAGUAAAGCCCGGGGCUCAACUCCGGUUCUCUAUCCAAAACUACUAAACUUGAGGGUGGAAGAGGUAAGCGGAAUGGCUGGUGUAGCAGUAAAAUGCGUUAAUAUCAGCUAGAACACCAAUUGCGAAGGCAGCUUACUGGUACACUCCUGACGCUAAAUAGCGAAAGCGUGGGUAGCGAAUGGG
rnacentral:misc_RNA from 1 species